CGCGUAGGUGGCUUGUCAGGUCCGAUGUGAAAUUCUGGGGCUUAACUCCAGGCGUGCAUCGGAAACCGGCUUGCUAGAGUCUGGGAGAGGAGAGUGGAAUUCCUGGUGUAGCGGUGAAAUGCGUAGAUAUCAGGAGGAACACCGGUAGCGAAGGCGGCUCUCUGGAACAGUACUGACACUGAGGCGCGAAAGCUAGGGGAGCGAACA
rnacentral:rRNA from 1 species